CUGCAACGGCUAGAGCCGGACUCUUAAUCCGUAGGUUCAGGGUUCGAUUCCCUGGCGACCCA
rnacentral:tRNA from 1 species